GAUGAACGCUGGCGGCGUGCCUAAUACAUGCAAGUCGAGCGAACGGACGAGAAGCUUGCUUCUCUGAUGUUAGCGGCGGACGGGUGAGUAACACGUGGAUAACCUACCUAUAAGACUGGGAUAACUUCGGGAAACCGGAUCUAAUACCGGAUGAUAUUUUGAACCGCAUGGUUCAAAAGUGAAAGACGGUCUUGCUGUCACUUAUAGAUGGAUCCGCGCUGCAUUAGCUAGUUGGUAAGGUAACGGCUUACCAAGGCAACGAUGCAUAGACGACCUGAGAGGGUGAUCGGCCACACUGGAACUGAGACACGGUCCAGACUCCUACGGGAGGCAGCAGUAGGGAAUCUUCCGCAAUGGGCGAAAGCCUGACGGAGCAACGCCGCGUGAGUGAUGAAGGUCUUCGGAUCGUAAAACUCUGUUAUUAGGGAAGAACAUAUGUGUAAGUAACUGUGCACAUCUUGACGGUACCUAAUCAGAAAGCCACGGCUAACUACGUG
rnacentral:rRNA from 1 species